CUUAUGCAUCGGCAUGAAUAUUUUUACUAUUAUGAAAUUAGAAUUAAUUCCAUCAAUGUGGUUCAAAUUUAUCAGGUUAACCAAUAAAAUAACAAAACAUAAGAAGCAAGUCCAUCACUUUUGCCCCUUUCAUGAUGUAAGCACAAGAAAUUUUCUUAUUAUCGUGUUAUUCUUACAACUUAUUUCAUAUGCUUUUUUAUUUUGACUUCCAAGCCAUUCAAAACAAUGUGUCCUUAAUUACAAUCCUUUAACACAACUAAAACUAUUAAUCAAAAUUUUACUAGAUUUUAAACGAAUUAAUGUUUGAUUUAAAAUUUUAAUUAAUUGAAGUAUUGCUAAAGUUUGCUAUAAUAUCGACAAUUAUGGGAAUGAAAAAAUUUCAUUCGUUAAAGAUCCUAAGUAUGUUCUUGUAUAGUUGUGAGAUUAUGAAAUUU
rnacentral:lncRNA from 1 species